UACGGAGGGUGCAAGCGUUGUCCGGAUUUAUUGGGUUUAAAGGGUGCGUAGGCGGUUCUUUUAAGUCUGGGGUGAAAGCCCGUUGCUCAACAACGGAACUGCCCUGGAAACUGGGGAACUUGAGUACAGACGAGGGUGGCGGAAUGGAUGGUGUAGCGGUGAAAUGCAUAGAUACCAUCCAGAACCCCGAUUGCGAAGCAGCUGCCUAGACUGUAACUACGCUGAGGCACGAAAGCGUGGGGAGCGAACAGG
rnacentral:rRNA from 1 species